rnacentral:rRNA from 1 species
AGAGUUUGAUCCUGGCUCAGAGCGAACGCUGGCGGCAGGCUUAACACAUGCAAGUCGAGCGGGCGUAGCAAUACGUCAGCGGCAGACGGGUGAGUAACGCGUGGGAACAUACCUUUUGGUUCGGAACAACACAGGGAAACUUGUGCUAAUACCGGAUAAGCCCUUACGGGGAAAGAUUUAUCGCCGAAAGAUUGGCCCGCGUCUGAUUAGCUAGUUGGUGAGGUAACGGCUCACCAAGGCGACGAUCAGUAGCUGGUCUGAGAGGAUGAUCAGCCACAUUGGGACUGAGACACGGCCCAAACUCCUACGGGAGGCAGCAGUGGGGAAUAUUGGACAAUGGGCGCAAGCCUGAUCCAGCCAUGCCGCGUGAGUGAUGAAGGCCCUAGGGUUGUAAAGCUCUUUUGUGCGGGAAGAUAAUGACGGUACCGCAAGAAUAAGCCCCGGCUAACUUCGUGCCAGCAGCCGCGGUAAUACGAAGGGGGCUAGCGUUGCUCGGAAUCACUGGGCGUAAAGGGUGCGUAGGCGGGUCUUUAAGUCAGGGGUGAAAUCCUGGAGCUCAACUCCAGAACUGCCUUUGAUACUGAGGAUCUUGAGUACGGGAGAGGUGAGUGGAACUGCGAGUGUAGAGGUGAAAUUCGUAGAUAUUCGCAAGAACACCAGUGGCGAAGGCGGCUCACUGGCCCGUUACUGACGCUGAGGCACGAAAGCGUGGGGA